ensembl:lncRNA
CAGUAAUGGACUACAAUUUGUAUGUAAUCUACACAGCACUGUCAUCAAUCAAUAAAUAAAAAUAAAUAAAAUCUAAUUAACAAUUCAUUAAAACAACUUUUCUACAACUAAAUAAAAACAAAAACCUAAUUGCAGAGGCCACGCCCACAACACCACUUAGAAACCCAUCUUAAAUUAGCUAAAGUAACAAGUGUAUGUAUAAGUGUAGACAACACAGCACACUAAAAAAGGUGUAUUCUAACUAUACACACAGAGUCACACGGACUUGAGGCUUAUGAUGACCAUAAUAUAUAAAUAAACUCAUGAAUAUCUCACCAAAUCUUGUGGUGGCCACACCCACUAUAUAAAUAAACAAAUCCCUGAGGCCACGCCUAAUAUAAACCUAUAGAAGCCCCUCUUUAUAGCAGAAUAGCAGAAGUUCUCUCUCUCUCUCUCUCUCUCUCUCUCUCUCUCUCUCUCUCUCUCUCUCUCUCUCUCUCUCGUUCAACUCCCCACAGCAGACCAAAAACACACACAGUCGAUGUACAAUUGACUGACAACACACUGAGUCACACAGACCUACAGCUUAUGUGGGAGGACUGGUGGGUGGACAGAGGCUGGAAGUUCUGAAGAACUUAAAUCAUUUAUUUAAAUUUACCAGAUGUACUGUAUGUGACACCUCUGUAAUUGCCAUUUUUACUGAACAUGUACAAGACUGAUGUGAUCUACACUGAAGACAAAGCUGCUAGGUACAGUACACAAACAAAACCAAAUCAUGACAGUGACAGAAAUAUAAAAAACCAGAACAACCAAGUUCAUCAUAAAGACCUUGAGAUAGAGAAACCACCUUUACCUCCCAGAGAUCAGUUCAAAUCCAUGGAAUCUGUGGAUCAGGGUUAUGAGGAUUUGGAGCCUGCGUCAGACUAUGUGGAGGUUGAGGAUGAUUUGAACCUUCCUGCCCCCCAACAACCCACCUUCACUCCACACUACACCACCGUCGAGACUAAAAGCCAAGACGCUGUUUCUGAGGAUUAUGACGACGUUGAAAUCCCUGUUAUCUAUGACAGCGAGGACUAUGAUGACAUAGGGUAAAAGACACAAAAUCAAUGACUUUCCCUUCAGCUGGACACAUGAGCAGACUCUGAAAUCAACUGCAUGUUUCCUUCAAGCUACUAUUGUACAUUAUUUAAGCAAAGAAAGUUUCUAAUAGCAUAUAAACUACAGGUGUGUUUACUUUUACUUAUCUAAACUGAUAUUUCCCUUCCCAUUUUUAGAAAUGUAAUACAUCUUUCAAAACUGUCAUUUGAUUUGUCAUUUUCUGUUGAAGCAUCCUACUGUAUGAGACAUUUGUGCGAAAGUGUUUAUGCGAGUUCAAAAGAUGUUUGAGAAACAUCUUAAUAGGCCCAUGCUUUAUAUAGUAAGCCUUGUAAUGAUUUGCACUGAAAAAUUUCAUGUCUUAUAUUAAAUUGUACCUUUUUUAUUAUUCCAGUGAAUCAAAAUGAUUUUUGGAAAAGAAGAACAACACACAAACAAGCAGUUCUCUGAAACUGAUUCCAUACAUUUAUUCUUAAAAAGAAAAGAAAAGAAAAAAGAAACAAGUACAAUGGUGACUAUCAAUAGAUAUUUGUCUUUCACAGCUGCUCGAUUUGUAAUCGCUGCUGUUCAGGGCAGCAACAGGAACAUAUCACAAGUCAGUUGUUUUUUUUAAACCCAUGCCCACAGUCAGAGGAGCGUUAUGGGCCUUGCAGACAAUUCGAGGCGUAUAAUUUCCGUGCACACAAACUACAAGUCUCCCUCUUGCUCGGUGGAGCUCCUGUUCUUUUGUACACAAGAGAAACAAGUCGAGAAAAAGAAGAUUUUCUUUCUCUUGCUCUCAGAGAUGUCCAUUAGGUG